UAUAUUUCGUUCCCUAAAUAUCAAAUUCUAUUGAAUUUAUAAUCCCCCACUGUUUGUUUAGUUGUUCCUGGUUCAUGGCUGCUGAGAUGAUUUUUAUCGUGGCGGGGAAGAAGGACAAAGGCAGUUUGAGGACAAGCCCCGAAGUCUUGUUUUCUCUUUCAGGAAACUUUAGAAACCGCACAUUUUUCAACGCUUUAACCAAGGGAUGCAAGUACAAAGUUAAAGUUACAACAGAGAGAUUAGAUUAAAAAAAAAAGAACCCUAAAGAAUGAGGUUGGCAAUUCGCGCAUGUGGUCUUUGUUCAGGAGAACACCGAAGUAUAUGUGGACCAAUUCCUAGGAAAACAAACAGUGAUGUUGCUUUUUUACCGCAUUUGACCUACCCGGCAGCUAAUCACAACCAGACGACCUCAAGUAACUGCAUUAAUUUCUUUGAACGCUAGAGGGAGAUAUAUUCACUUGCAAAUCGGGAAGAGAGACUUGUUCUAUCUAGAUAGAGCACUUUCAACUCGGAACUUUCACUAGGAACUGUUUAAAAUUCUGGUAAUUUUGCAGUCACCAGGAAACACGGAUAUGUAUUAAGACUAGAGCAAAUGACACACGUUUAGAAAGUAAACGGAUUUCUUUGUUGGACCAGGAUUUCUAUGAACGGGUUACUUUGUUUUGGGUGAUUUUAUAUGCUGUAUUCUCAGGCCAUACCGCAAGCCAUUUUUCUCUUGAGCAAUACAAAGCAUAAAGUCCACAAACUGCCAGCUGUUGUUGGGAUACACAUCGCUUCUUCCUCCCCGGGAUCUCAGGGGAUUUGCCCACUAUAAGCUAAAUGGUCAAAGGCUUCCAAAGUCUGGUGUCUGCGGAUGCUUGAAUCACACUGUACUUAGCCACAUCCUUGCCGGUCGGGUGGCUUAAAGGUCAUCGGCACAGAGAUCGCUCUGGGCUUUUAUUUGCCCAAUAAAAUGCUUUUCAACUUUGCCUGGUAAUCACAUAGAUAUGUAGUGUUUUCGUGAUUGCUUGGGGCAACUAAAGAACUCUCUCUUUAUUUGCUUUGGUUAUCUUUUCCAAAGAACAUUCUGCAGACGGUCUAUUUUUUUUUCCCCUGAUCAAAGGUUGAGCGUGAUCCUAGCCAGCCGUUCUCAGUCUGCCAAGUGCUUUGUUUGACCUUGUAAGUAAUUUUAUAAAUUAAUUCUAGAAAUCCUCCAUUGCAUAAGUCCCAACGUUGAGGUGUUUCUGGUAAGUAAAGGGGGUGGUAUCCUUUCUGUCCCCAAGGCAGGAGAAUCAGAACUGGCAGUCAUCAAACCUUAGCCUAAACUGAUUGGUGAACGUCGGCAAGUGACUUUGAAUCUUGCUGGGACUAUUUUUGUGUCUCCGAUGUGGGAUCGCACCCCUUCAGAAUUGUGGGGAUUGGAUCACACAAUAUAUAAAACGCACCCUGCUUGGUUUCUAGUGCCAGGACGCAUUCCAAUUCCCGUGUCUUUGUAAAUUCCCACAGGAAGUACUCCGCCAAAGGACUCUAUAAAGCAUGGGUUGUGCACGCUAUGGGCUCCGAAGUUAUGUCCAGUGCUGGUUUUAAACACAGAAUGUGACCCAGGUCACAUUUGUAAGUUAUCUCUUGCAAGACCACAGACAUGGGCAGAAUUGUAUUGGCCCGGACUCCACUCUAUUUCCGCAGAUGGUGGGCCUCACCAAGACCCCAGACGAUUCCUAAGAAAGAACCCAAAAGGCACAAAAUGGCAGGCUUCUGUUUGCUGGUUUCCUCCGGCACCCUUGCCAGGAAUGGAAAAAGAGCCAGAAAAGGGCACACCAAAAAUGCGGAAAAGACUCCUUCUAGUCUGCUUUUAAUGAAGAUGAGGAAUGACUUUCCUAGCUGCAAAAUACGUGCGGAAAUAGCAACCUCUAAAUCUAUUCAUAUUCCCCAAAUGGCAUUUCUCACUGCCACCUUUACCGGAUGUGGUUUUACACAUCUAAUUGAAUGAAUAAAAUAUCCCAGUUCUAUGUUUUGAAGAAUAAUGACAUCAAUUGCCUUCUCAGACCACAGGAUAUACACAUAAAUUAAUAGAAGACAGUCUGUUUCUGGAUUGAGUCAUCGGUGUUGUUAGUGUUAUUAGUGUAAGUAAUAAAUAAAAAUGAACUCUCAGUGGUAUUCUGUUUCCAGCACAAUUAAGAACUAGCUUAUGUUUAUGAAAUACUUAUUACCUUAUCCUUAUGGAGUGAACUUCAUUUUAUAACUUCCCAUUUUCUGCUGUAAUUGUUAGUGUCAACAUACAUUUUUCAGAAUUAUAGACUGUAGACUACAAAGAGUGAAUUUUAAUAUCAACUAAGAACCUCAACUAAUUAUCACAAAUCUGUGUUUUUGCUCAUUAUAGUCAUAAACGUGGCCACACUGAUACUGGUAUCAUUAAUAGAAAGUGAAGUAGAGAUUAGAACAGUCUAUGGGAACUCUGCAUUUGCCCUUGUAAUUGUUCUACAAACCUAAAGUUAGAAGAAACAAACAAUUAUUAAGAAAUCUCAAUUGGGAGUAAUAGCAUUCGGGGACUUUGGAUGAUGAUGUGCUCAUGCAUGUUCAUGGGUUAUCAUAAAUCCGUCCCUCCAUGGGGGCAUGACUGCCACGCGGGAGGCCAUGCAUGUGUGAGCAAAGCGGUGGACGGCGCCCAUGACGAGUCUCUAUCUUCCGUUCGGUGCUUCUGUGAGCUUAAAACUGAUUCAAAGAGUAAAUCAUGACGAUCUCAAAGCCAUUUAAGAACCUUUAUAUCGUCACAUGUGUAGGGAAGAAAAAAACCAUUCUGUAGGCCACUGUGUUGUCACUGCCAAAUUUCUGGGCGUCCUUCUAGCCUGUUGCUCAUCUGUCCACCUGUCUAUCAACGACCUUAGUGUCCAGUGACAAAACGAGGCUUGUUUAUGUGUAAUGUAGAGACACUGAGGUUCUUGAUCUUCCUUUCUCAAAAUGUUUAGACUGAGUUCUAUGGGAUACUUUCUGACUUCUUCUGUGGCAGUUUCAUUGGACUGAUUGUUUGUUUUAUUGUGCUAGCAUUUCUUUUUAGAUCAUUAGCCAAGAGUGGUUUUAAACAUAAAGCAGAGAUUCAUGAUAGAUAUAAUAUUUUUAUAUCUGACACACCAUUUCCAUACCAUAUUGGUGUAGGAGGUUCUUCUGUCUAUGUGUGGCCUUCAUUGGUUGAAUAAAGAAACUGCCUUGGUCUUCUGAUAGGGUAGAACUUAGAUAGGCUGAGUAGAUAGGCAGAGUUGACAGAACUGGAUGCUGGGAAGAAGGGCAGAGUGGCAGACGCCAUGGUUCUCCUGCUCUAGACAGAUACUGGGUAGGCUCAUGCCAGUAAGCCACAAUCACGUGGUGAUACACAGAUUUAAUAGAAAUGGGUUCAUCAAGAUGUGAGAGUUAGCCAAGAAGAGGCUAGAUAUAAUGGGCCAGGCAGUAAUUUAAUUAGUACAAUUUCUGUGUGGUUAUUUCAGGGGUUAAGCUAGCCAGGCGGGAUGGAACAAAGGGGCCCCGCUCUUGUACUACAUCAUAUAGUGUUUUCUUGGCUUACUGUUUAUGUUCACUUAUACCAAAUGCUACAUAAUGGAGGCAGGUUAGAAGGAAUGUAAGCAGGACCUAGUAUCUCAGGAAUUUGAUCCAGCUACUCAGAAGGUUGAGGUAGGAGGAUUGCAAGUUGAAGGCCUGUUUGGUUACAGAAUGAGUUCAAAGCCAGUCUGGGCAACUUAGUGAGACCCUGUCUCAAAUUAAAAACAUAAAAACUAGUUUAGGAAAUUAGAGCCCUGGUAGAGUACUCACUUACACAAGAAGCCCUGGAUUCAAUCCUUAUUGCCAGAAGAAAAAGGAUGAGGGAGGUGAAGGGGAGAAGGAAGGGGAGGAGGAAAGAGUGGAGCCUUAAAGAAUGUCUGUGUAGCACAGAGAGAGCCUCUGAAUUAGAACACACAGAUUGAACUGGGUCAAGGGAUGAAACCCUCCAUCAAUUCUGUCUGCAUGAGAAGUCAUGCAUCCUUUCUCGACAUCUUUCACCAAUGUGAAAUGAGAGGGUUUAAUAUGAGUUCAUGUAUAUCAUCUUGCUUUAUACUGGUCGGUUUCCUUGGGUUACAUGUGCCAUCCAAUUUGAAAACUACUGAGAUUGGGUGAACCUAAAAUCACUGGUGUGCAGAAAAACUCCUGAUUUGUGCAAGUUGAUUCUGUAUUCUACCGUGUUGUUGACGUGUUUUUAUUCAUUGUUUCUAGAAUUCUGAUGGAAUUUUGGGGAUCUUUAAUAAACAAUAUUAUGUCAUCUGC